rnacentral:rRNA from 1 species
UACGUAGGGUGCAAGCGUUGUCCGGAAUUAUUGGGCGUAAAGAGCUCGUAGGCGGUCUGUCGCGUCUGCUGUGAAAACCUAGGGCUUAACUCUGGGCGUGCAGUGGGUACGGGCAGGCUAGAGUACGGUAGGGGAGACUGGAAUUCCUGGUGUAGCGGUGAAAUGCGCAGAUAUCAGGAGGAACACCGGUGGCGAAGGCGGGUCUCUGGGCCGUAACUGACGCUGGAGGAGCGAAAGCAUGGGGAGCGAACAGG